rnacentral:sRNA from 2 species
ACGAAGCAGGCGCCCGGGCCGGGGACCCACCGCAGCAAUGGGGUGAAGCACGACCGGAACGCGAGUUCCGGUCGCGCCGGGCGAGUUCCCCGCCCGAACCCGUCAGCUAACUCGGUAGGCGGUUGAUGGAGAACAG